UAUACUCUCAAGCAGAUGAUAUCCAACAUCAUUUUUAUUUUAAAGCUGUGGAAGCCAUUUAUCAUUGAGUCAUCUACGUGAGAAGUAAAGUUGAAAAAAAAAGUGUAUUUUCCUUACCUUCUCUUGAUAAAUAUCACCUUUAACUCCUCUCUGCCUCUAUAGGCUGAAUCAUGCGCUUCUAACUUAGUAGAGAGAAAUCCCAUUGCCUAGAAUUUUAAAUGAAAUUGCAUUAUGUACUAAUGAAAGCAUAAACCUAGAAUUGUUAAAAUGCCAUUGACCUACAAGUUAUAUUGUCCAGAAAUCUAAAGUUACUUCUGUAUAUGUAUAGGAAACAAUCUUAAUGUUCUGGUACUGUCCACUGGUGUUUUAUGUGCUUCACCUUAUUGUACAUAUCAAUUAUUGUUUGGGAAAUUUAAAGCAGUUCUAUGGGGUACAGCAGCUAAGAGGAUACGGUGCUUGAUUCUUGUCUGAGCAUCCCAGUCUGAGGCUCCAUCUCGCUUGUAGUCAAGGAGGGGAUGGUGUCUGCUACCUAACCUUGAUUCGAGGAGCAGACAGCUCAUUUACAGGGGAUGUAUUGCUCUCUUGGAUGUAAUAUGUAAUCAAUCUGUCCAAAGGGUCUUUGCUGUGAUCCCAGGGCACCUCCAGUCCAUAUGUGCCAAACACAUUAUUUGGGGAGGUGAAGAUCAUUGAGCAGUGCUGCCUAGUGUACCAAAGGCUUAUAGUAUACUGCAAGCUGUAUCCAUACUAUCCCUAACAGACCUUUAGGACCCCUUUUUGCUUAAUGACUCUUAGGUGCCCAUGAAACAUACAGGAGGGGCAGAUGUAUUGGUGGUGGACAUCUUUGUACCUCACUCCAAGCAUGUUUAAUUCUUCAGACAACAUACAGUACUUGUAAUGGAUCCCACAAUCCAUUUCAUGCUGAGACAGGAUAACAUCAAUGGACAACAAGGCUUUGGGUGCAUCUGAAAUGACUGAGGAAGCAUUACCUUCAGAUGAAUAUGCAGUAAGGAAAAUGAUUUCAAGGCCCUCAUAGAAAUUAGCUUAGGAGUUAGUUGCUGUCAAGGCAAAAAAAAAUCUGCAAAAACCAGGAACAAAGGCGGAAGUGAACCUUACUAAUAAUAUAGCAUGCUGGGAAGUUAUCCACCAAGGCCAUGGAUGCAUCUUGAAGUGACUGAGGAAGCACUGCUCUCCUCAGAUGAAUAUGCAGGUCCUAGGAGGCAAACUAAGCAUCUUGUUAUUGUCAAAGCAAUUUCCUCAACCACAAUGCUGAACAGAGGAUAAAUUCUGCUGGUCUCGGAGGAAUUUCACAAAUACUCGAGCAGGAAAAAUUCAAGAACGUUAUUCUCCAUCGCCAAUCUUAAUUUGAAACCAAGGACAUCUUGUUAUUGUCAAAUCAAAUUUCCUCAACUACAAUGCCUAACAGAGGAUAAAUUCUGCUGGUCUCGGAGGAAUGUGUCAAAUACUCAAGCAGGAAAAAUUCAAGAACGUUAAUCUCCAUCACUAAUGUUAAUUUGAAGCCGAGGAAAUUAAUGGAGUGUUUUUUUGUUUUUGUUUUUCAUUAAAGUAUGCAGAAGUGUU
rnacentral:lncRNA from 1 species